CGAGCGAAGCGGGAAGAGCUCAAAUUUAUAAUCUGGCACCUUCGGUGUCCGAGUUGUAAUCUCUAGAAGUGUUUUCCGCGUUGGACCGCACACAAGUCUGUUGGAAUACAGCGGCAUAGUGGUGAAACCCCCGUAUAUGGUGCGGACGCCCAGCGCUUUGUGAUACACUUUCAAUGAGUCGAGUUGUUUGGGAAUGCAGCUCAAAUUGGGUGGUAAAUUCCAUCUAAAGCUAAAUAUUGGCGAGAGACCGAUAGCGAACAAGUACCGUGAGGGAAAGAUGAAAAGCACUUUGGAAAGAGAGUUAACAGUACGUGAAAUUGUUGGAAGGGAAACGCUUGAAGUCAGACUUGCUUGCCGGAGCUUGCUUCGGUUUGCAGGCCAGCAUCAGUUUUCCGGGGUGGAUAAUGACGGUUUGAAGGUAGCAGUCUCGGCUGUGUUAUAGCUUUCCGUUGGAUACGCCCUGGGGGACUGAGGAACGCAGCGUGCUUUUUGCGAAAGACUCGUCUUUUUCACGCUUAGGAUGCUGGUGGAAUGGCUUUAAACGACCCGUCUUG
rnacentral:rRNA from 1 species